rnacentral:rRNA from 1 species
UACGAAGGGGGCUAGCGUUGUUCGGAUUUACUGGGCGUAAAGCGCACGUAGGCGGGUUGUUAAGUCAGGGGUGAAAUCCUGGAGCUCAACUCCAGAACUGCCUUUGAUACUGGCAACCUAGGAGCUGGAAGAGGUUAGUGGAAUUCCCAGUGUAGAGGUGAAAUUCGUAGAUAUUGGGAAGAACACCAGUGGCGAAGGCGGCUAACUGGUCCAGAUCUGACGCUGAGGUGCGAAAGCGUGGGGAGCAAACAGGG